ensembl:lncRNA
UCAGAGAGACUCUAGGUUGGUCUGAGAGAGGUGUUAGUGGUCUGACUGUGAAGGCUCUGAGAGAGGUGUUAGUAGGCUGACUGUGAAGGCUCAGAGAGAGGUGUUAGUGGGCUGACUGUGAAGGCUCAGAGAGAGGUGUUAGUGGGCUGACUGUGAAGGCUCAGAGAGAGGUGUUAGUGGGCUGACUGUGAAGGCUCUGAGAUACUCUGGGUUGGUCUGAGAGAGGUGUUAGUGGGCUGACUGUGAAGGCUCUGAGAGACUCUGGGUUGGUCUGAGAGAGGUGUUAGUGGGCUGACUGUGAAGGCUCUGAGAUACUCUGGGUUGGUCUGAGAGAGGUGUU